GCCAUAUUACGUUGAAAUAUCGGUUCCCGUACGAUCACCGAAGUUAAGUUAACGUCGAACCUGGUCAGUACCUAAAUGGGCGACCGCUUGGGAAUGUCAGGUGUUAU